UACGUAGGUGGCAAGCGUUGUCCGGAAUUAUUGGGCGUAAAGCGCGCGUAGGCGGCGGGGUAAGUCGGGUGUGAAAUCUCAGAGCUCAACUCUGAAAUGGCACUUGAUACUGCUCUGCUAGAGGACUGGAGAGGAGAUUGGAAUUCACGGUGUAGCAGUGAAAUGCGUAGAUAUCGUGAGGAAGACCGGUGGCGAAGGCGGAUCUCUGGACAGUUCCUGACGCUGAGGCGCGAAGGCCAGGGGAGCAAACGGG
rnacentral:rRNA from 1 species